rnacentral:lncRNA from 1 species
GAAGGAGAACAUACAAGACUAUAAAUUGUUAGGAUUCGGUUAGAUUUGUAGUUGAUUUCUAAUUGGAUUAGGGUUAAUAUUUAAUUCUGUCGGACAUAAAUUAAGAUUUAAUUAUUAAUUAAAGUAGAAAUCUAAGUAGACUGAAAUUUGAAUAUGUAAGCUAUAAAUAUCGUAUAGGUGCUAUUAUUGCUAUGGUGGUGGUACAGCUUAGCAACACCCAUAUAGUAUGGCUAAGGUGGUUAUGAUUUUAGAUGCACUAGCGCAUGGGUACAAGAGGAUGUAUGCGGCUUUCAUGAUCGUGGGUCCUUAGUAUAUGUUGUGCAUGGGUGCACAAGAUGAGAGUUUGAACUUAUAAAAGAUGAGAAAAGAGUGAGAGAGACUCAGAAAGAGGGCUUGGGUUAAAGCUAUUCUAUAUAUCGGUGUAAACAAGCUGAACACGAGCGAGUUGGGGUCGGCUUGUGUUCGGCUCGUUUAUUAAUUGAGCCGGACACGAGCUGUAUUAGAACCGAUUGUGGAUUCUCAAGAU